ACUGGGAGGGGUCGGUAUCAAGUGGCUCCAGAAACAUAUCUCUAGGAAAAUUCUACAAAAGAGUUCUUGGAAGCUUCCAUUAUAAUAAUACGGUUCCUUUCCCAGACAGGAGGCAAAGGUUACCACAUUUAAGAAUUACAUUCCCAGACAGGCAAUAGUUCUUUAAGUUUUAUAUUUGUCAAGUUGUCAAGGCCUUAAGGCGGCAUAUCUGGGGGCUGUGCGUGCCUGCAACUGGAAGCAGAAAACACCACCUGCGUAGGGAGUGAAGAGCUGGCAACAUCGUUCUGACUGCAGACGGAGCUGAGAUCGAAAUGAUGUUCUCCUGGUCUCAGGAGCGCAUGAGCAGGUUAGGGACAGUGUCCAUUUCGGUCCCAGUGCAGACUUUUGUCAGCUGUUCCAAGGACCUUGCUGGGACCAAGACUUGGAGAAGAAGUCCAGAAUUCUCGGGCUCUCUAAAAGCUGACAACAUCAGCGUUGAGUUAAACAUGGUUGGGCUUCAGAAAAGACACCCAUUCUAGCCCUUCACCCCCUAGCAAUUCCUUCUCUGGGACGUGGCUGCCAGAUUCCACCCUAAUGUCGAGGCCCUGGACUGCUGGAGGCUGUUAACAGAGAAAGACUGAAGUAUUGCCUUGAGGCACCGAUAGGGAUCAGUUUAACCUUCCAGCCCCAUCUUGCUGGAUCCAGCCAAGAAAUCCUUAUCAUGUCCCUGAGGUUAAAUUUUCCUUAUGAAACCUGUCCAUCUAGGGGAGGGGGGAAAAAUUUGGAACAGAAAGCUUUGCAAGAGUCAAUGCUGAAAAGUUACCCAUGCAUAUGUUUUGUAAAUAAAAAGCUUUAAUAAAUAAAUAAAAAAAGAAAUCUAGCCAGUAGGAAAAAUAAAAUAAAAUAAAAUCUGUCCA